ensembl:misc_RNA Metazoa_SRP Metazoan signal recognition particle RNA
GCUGGGUGUGGUGGUACACGCCUGUAAUCCCAGAUACUUGGGAGGCAGAGACAGGAGAAUCGCUUGAACCCAGGAGGCGGAGGCUGCAGUGAGCUGAGAUUGUGCCACUGCACUCCAGCCUGGGUGACAGAGUGAGACUCUGUUUCAA